CGAUAGAAAACUAUUAUAGGAUAGAUGCAUCUUAGUGUCUCAUUCUCUUCUUAAGCAGAAAAUGACAAGUAAAAGCAAUGGCCACUGCACUUAGCCACUUAUUGCCCAGUUAUCGCACGGUACACGAUUCAUAUCCGUCGGAUCGGAUCGGAUCGAAUCGUCCAGGGUAUAGCUUGACAAAGCAUUAUGAUUCCCAUCGAUCCUUUGCAGGACUCCUCCUUCGAUAUCGAAGAGCUCUUGACGUUUUGUGGUGAUAAUUACAAAGAAAAAAAUUUAGAGGGAGACGCUGGCUGGCCAAUUAAAGAUGGACAGAGUGCUGCAAAAACAUUGAUUAUCAAUCACCAGGCUAGUGUUGGAGAAACCGAACGUCCUGUUAGCCAACAUCAAGCAACUCAUGAUCAAGUUACUGAAGGUACAAUAUUGACUAUCACUCUGGCAGAUACUGAAAAAACCCAACAUUCUGUUAGCCAAUAUCAAGCAAAUCAUGAUCAAGCUGCUAGACCAUCUAGUAAGAAAAGGGGAGGAACCCCUCUAGAUGACGAUGAAAAAAGAAUAAGAAAAAGACUUGUCGAUAAAAAUCAUCGUGAAAAAAUGAAGCAAAACUCUAAGCAAAAGGAAUUGGAGUUCCAAGCUUCCAACAGUAAAGUGAAAGACCUUGAAAGUGAGUUGCAAGCUUCCAACAGAAAAGUGAAAGACUUUGAACGUAAAGAAGAGUUAUGGAAUGAGGAAAGAAACUCGAUGGCUCAAAAGAUUGGGCGGCUUAAAUCUAAAAACAGAAGAUUGAAAGAGGACGGUGUUGGGGAAAUUCUAAAGGAGUUGAGAGGUGUCAAGAUGGAAGUUCACAAACUUAAAGGUGUACAUGCAUCUAGUAUUGUAGAAGAAGACAUGUCUAAAGAAAGACUACAGAGAGAAGACACUUAUAGUAAGCAACUUCAUUUGAAAACAAGAGAAGACACUUAUAACUCUAACAAAGCUAUUAGACAACAACAAGCGUUGUUGGAGAAUAUGUUUUUGCGUAUGGGAGAAUUGCCUAUGAAACAAGAGCAAUUAAGGCAAGAGGAGAAUGGACAACUUGGUUUCGUGGGAGAUGGACGUCUUAUCACUACAGGAGAUGUGGAAGAGUUGAAAUCCAUGAUGAUGACACAAUUUGGGCAACUAUCUCAAAUGAUUGAUGCGCUAAAGACUCCAAAUCCUCCUUCACAGGCACAAGAUGCAUCCAUUGGACCUCAAAGGAUGGAUGCUCUAGAGACUCCAAAUCCUCCUUCGCAUGCACCAUGUGCAUCCACUGGACAUAGGCGAUUCUCAUCUUCAAGUUAUAAUCCUUGAGAUCGAUCCACUCGUUAUUGCAGAGAUGGCAAGAAUGUCUGAAUAUGUGAAAUCAAGAAAUGUUUAAUUCAUCUUGAGAUCGAGUUGCUAAAGAGGGAACAAACUAAACUUGGGUGCUUCAAGGGCAAUGUUAUCAACGGAUUGCUCGAACUUUUUUCUAUUGGAUUGUGAGAAGUUAAUUAAUUACAUCUCUUAUGAACUAUUUCUAUUGGAUUGUAUGUUAUCAAACCUGCAUGUUGAACAAAAUAAGUUGCUGUUGUGUUUGGGUUUUGUGAGAGUUGACACAAGAAUAUUAAUUUGUAUUUGUGGUAUGUUUAAUUAGCAAUGUCAUUUGAAUUAUUGGCUUGUA